rnacentral:rRNA from 1 species
GGUUUGACCUCGGAUCAGGUAGGGAUACCCGCUGAACUUAAGCAUAUCAAUAAGCGGAGGAAAAGAAACCAACAGGGAUUGCCUCAGUAACGGCGAGUGAAGCGGCAACAGCUCAAAUUUGAAAUCUGGGUCUUUCAGGCUCCGAGUUGUAAUUUGUAGAGGAUGUUUCGGCUUACGCCCCGGCCUAAGUCCCUUGGAAUAGGGCGUCAUAGAGGGUGAGAACCCCGUACGUGGCCGGCGGCUUCCGCCAUGUGAAGCUCCUUCGACGAGUCGAGUUGUUUGGGAAUGCAGCUCUAAAUGGGAGGUAAAUUUCUUCUAAAGCUAAAUACCGGCCAGAGACCGAUAGCGCACAAGUAGAGUGAUCGAAAGAUGAAAAGCACUUUGGAAAGAGAGUUAAAAAGUACGUGAAAUUGUUGAAAGGGAAGCGCUUGCGACCAGACUUGUCCGCGGUGGCUCCGCCGGUCCUUCGGCCGGUGUACUCCUCCGCGGUCAGGCCAGCAUCAGUUCGGGCGGCCGGAUAAAGGCCUUGGGAAUGUAGCUCCCCUCGGGGAGUGUUAUAGCCCUCGGUGCAAUGCGGCCCGCCUGGACUGAGGAACGCGCUUCGGCCAGGAUGCUGGCGUAAUGGUCGUAAGCGGCCCGUCUUGAAACACGGACCAAGGAGUCUAACAUCUAUGCGAGUGUUUGGGUGUCAAACCCGUGCGCGAAAUGAAAGUGAACGGAGGUGGGAGCCCUCGGGCGCACCAUCGACCGAUCCUGAUGUCUUCGGAUGGAUUUGAGUAAGAGCAUAGCUGUUGGGACCCGAAAGAUGGUGAACUAUGCCUGAGUAGAGCGAAGUCAGGGGAAACCCUGAUGGAGGCUCGCAGCGGUUCUGACGUGCAAAUCGAUCGUCAAAACUUGGGUAUAGGGGCGAAAGACUAAUCGAACCAUCUAGUAGCUGGUUCCUGCCGAAGUUUCCCUCAGGA